rnacentral:snRNA from 1 species
AUUCCUAAAUAUAUACUAAAAUUUUAACAAACAGAGAAGAUUAGCAUGGCUCCUGCGCAAGGAUGAUACGCUCCUACUUCACACUGAAUAAGGACAA